UACAGAGGUCUCAAGCGUUGUUCGGAUUCAUUGGGCGUAAAGGGUGCGUAGGCGGCGCGGUAAGUCGGGUGUGAAAUCUCGGAGCUUAACUCCGAAACUGCAUUCGAUACUGCCGUGCUUGAGGACUGGAGAGGAGACUGGAAUUUACGGUGUAGCGGUGAAAUGCGUAGAUAUCGUAAGGAAGACCAGUGGCGAAGGCGGGUCUCUGGACAGUUCCUGACGCUGAGGCAACGAAGGCCAGGGGGAGCAAACGGG
rnacentral:rRNA from 1 species